CAGCGCUGACGCAGCUGGUCUCCAGGGAACUGGAGGCGGGGACACAUUGAACCGUCACUUAGUAGGUGGAACACGCCCAUCUUUGUUAUCCGGAAACCAUCGGGGUCCUUCCGUUUAUUGCAUGAUCUUCGGGCUGUUAAUGCACAGCUCGUCCAGUUCGGUCCCGUUCAGCAAGGCGGUCCAUCACUUGCAGCUGUUCCCAGGGGAUGGCCCCUUGUGGUCAUUGACCUUAAGGAUUGUUUUUUCUCCAUCCCUUUGGCAGAACAGGACCGGGAGGCUUUUGCAUUCAC
rfam:Gallus gallus breed Red Jungle fowl, inbred line TCD001 Contig13851.1, whole genome shotgun sequence. [11-NOV-2016]